CCUACGGGGUGCUGCAGUGGGGAAUAUUGGACAAUGGGCGAAAGCCUGAUCCAGCCAUGCCGCGUGUGUGAAGAAGGCCUUCGGGUUGUAAAGCACUUUCAGUGGGGAAGAAAGCCUUGGGGCUAAUACCCUCGAGGAAGGACAUCACCCACAGAAGAAGCACCGGCUAACUCCGUGCCAGCAGCCGCGGUAAUACGGAGGGUGCGAGCGUUAAUCGGAAUUACGGGGCGUAAAGCGCGCGUAGGCGGUCUGAUAAGCCGGUUGUGAAAGCCCCGGGCUCAACCUGGGAACGGCAUCCGGAACUGUCAGGCUAGAGUGCAGGAGAGGAAGGUAGAAUUCCCGGUGUAGCGGUGAAAUGCGUAGAGAUCGGGAGGAAUACCAGUGGCGAAGGCGGCCUUCUGGACUGACACUGACGCUGAGGUGCGAAAGCGUGGGUAGCAAACAGGAUUAGAUACCCUAGUAGUC
rnacentral:rRNA from 1 species